CUCGGAAGGGUGGUCUCUCAGCCCGGAUUGUGAGAGGGCACAGGCCAGGCUGAGGGACCCCACAGGUGCACU
rfam:Myotis lucifugus cont2.45718, whole genome shotgun sequence.